rnacentral:misc_RNA from 1 species
CUCUUCCUAGCUAGGUCCCCACUCUCUCUCUCUCUAAGCAACCUUCUUGUUCCUGAUACGUUUUAUCACAAGCCCAUAUGUAUAACAUCAUCAUCUUCAUACAUCUCUCUGUACAGACACAGAGACAGUAGAGGAUAAUCUGUGUUAAAAAGGACCAUGAUCUCUGCGUUUCUUUGACUCUCUAUAGUUUUUACUUUCACUGUUUCUACUGCAUCAAGUACCAACCACCAGUCUUCUCUCUCUCCCCCCUUUCUCUUUCUCUAUAUAGUCUGCACCU